GCCAGACUCCUACGGGAGGCAGCAGUGGGGAAUAUUGCACAAUGGGGGAAACCCUGAUGCAGCGACGCCGCGUGAGUGAAGAAGUAAUUCGUUACGUAAAGCUCUGUCAGCAGGGAAGAAAAUGACGGUACCUGACCAAGAAGCCCCGGCUAACUACGUGCCAGCAGCCGCGGUAAUACGUAGGGGGCAAGCGUUAUCCGGAUUUACUGGGUGUAAAGGGAGCGUAGGCGGUUCAGCAAGUCAGAAGUGAAAGCCCGGGGCUCAACCCCGGUAUUGCAUUUGAAACUGUCCGGCUAGAGUGCAGGAGAGGUAAGCGGAAUUCCUAGUGUAGCGGUGAAAUGCGUAGAUAUUAGGAGGAACACCAGUGGCGAAGGCGGCUUACUGGACUGUAACUGACACUGAGGCACGAAAGCGUGGGGAGCAAACAGGAUUAGAUACCCUUGUAAGC
rnacentral:rRNA from 1 species